rnacentral:rRNA from 1 species
UACGUAGGGGGCAAGCGUUGUCCGGAAUCAUUGGGCGUAAAGCGCGUGUAGGCGGCUCGAUAAGUCUGCUGUGAAAGCCCAGGGCUCAACCCUGGGAUGCCGGUGGAUACUGUCGAGCUCGAGUCCGGAAGAGGCGAGUGGAAUUCCUGGUGUAGCGGUGAAAUGCGCAGAUAUCGGGAAGAACACCCGUGGCGAAGGCGGCACUCUGGGACGGUACUGACGCUGAGGCGCGAAAGCGUGGGGAUCGAACAGG